rnacentral:lncRNA from 1 species
UAAUUCAACAUAAAAUACGUUUUCUUGGGAGAGUCAUACAAUUAUUCUUAUAAUUAAGUAAAAUACAUAAUAAAACAAGUCAAAACUAGAGUAGAAAACUAGACCCGGGUGUCACAAUAUCAGAUCCUAGAAUCCAAUUUAAAUAUAAAUAAUAAUACAAAAAACUUUCAAGAACUACAUAAUAUAGGUGAACAAUUGAUUAUCCUUUUUACUCUUGUAAUCAAACACCUUGAUAGUACUCCUCAUUCUCGUUGUGAGGAUAUUCUGCAUAGAAUGCAUAGAUAAGAAAAACAAAGAAUAAUAAUGGGUGAGAUAUAUUAUGUCACUUAAAGUUAUACAACAAUAGAAAUUCAUAGAAACAUACACAUAAAUACAUGUUUAAUUUACAACCUACCUAUGGUGUACAUAUAAUUGUACAUAGGGUAUGUAUAAAAUGUAAUGUUCCUACACCUGUACUCCAUAUACAUGUUGUACCAAUAACUCAUACUUAAGAAAUAUGACUAGGAAUAUAAGAGUAGUUAAAGAAGAACAUCAUCCAUUAAGGGUGAUCUUUAGUACAUCACAUUCUCGCUAGUAUGAUAAUGUUAGGAGACUUUGUAGGGUUUCCAAACUUCAUAAUUAUUCCUUAGCAUCGAGGAAUCAUAAAUAUUCAUUGGGGAUUUCAAUACCAAAGAAUAAUCAUACUAUAAAGCAGUUUGACCAAAUUCAUGCGACCUUCACCAUCUAAUUCAAUUAAUAAUUUCACUCACAUGUCACAAACACUUAAUAUGGUAAAUUUUUCACAAAAUAAAAAAAUAUAUCUUUAUAUAAUUCUUAUGUCGAAAAUAUUAAUAUGGGUUAAUAGGCCUUUACCCCCUGUAAUAUACACCACUUUUGGUUUUGCCCCUUGUAAAUUUUUUUUUUUUUAGAUUCGGUCCUCGUAAAAUGAAGAUUCUUCAGGAUUGCCCGUAAGCCAGUUGAGUCAGCAGAAUCUCCUACAUGAGAAACUUACAUUUCCAGAUGUGCCAUCUUCAUUGUUCUUCUUUGAUGCUCCUUCGUUCUUCGUCUUCAUCUUCUUAAUCACCUUCAUCUUCUUCCUUCCGUUAUUUUUCUUCAGCUUCGCAACCUUUCUCCUCUUCGAAUCGUGUUUCUCCUUCACAGACUUCCCCUUCCACUUCAUCGUCUUUUUUGUUCUUACUGUGUUCGUUCUUCGCGUUCUGGAUUUGGUUUGGUUAGGGUUGAUAAAUCUGUUUGGGUUUGAGUUUUCACAAGUAUUGGAUUGAGUUUUUACAAGUGUUGUAAAUGAUAGGGGUGAAACGUGAAAACCCUUCAUAUUUUAAUUAAGUUUUAAAAAUUAAAAUUACCAUUUAAAAAAUGAAUUAAAAACAUUUGAUAAAAAAAAAAUGUGUUUUUUCAAAAAAAAUAUAUUAAAUGACGUGUUUAACGCGUGGCUUCAAAAAAAAAAAAAAAUGCCACGUAGAUGUCAUGUAGGAGAUUCUGCUGACUCAACUGGCUUAGGGGACAAUCCUGAAGAAUCUUCAUUUUACGAGGACGAAAUCUAAAAAGAAAUAAAAUUACAGGGGGCAAAACCAAAAGUGGUGUAUAAUACAGGGGGGUAAAGACCUAUUAACCCUAUUAAUAUUGUCCCCACAUUUUACAAGCUAUUCACAUGAUAAACAAAGUAUCCUCCAAGUACCCUCCUUGCCUCUCUUGACCUAUAUUUCUUAAACCAUCGUUACCAUCUUUUUUUAAUGGAUGUAUACUCUAAGGGUCUCCAUAGUUCGUUCUACUAUUGUUUAAAUAUAUGUUGUUUUAAUGCAAGGGUUGAUUUUGGUUCACUAACGAAACUAUAUUAACAACUAUUAUAAACAAAGGUUUGUAUAUAAAUAAUAUUUGAUAUUGAUACUUUGAUUAUGUUUUUUUUUUCUUUCUAUAAAUCAAUCUAUCUUCGUUUCUUGCAAAUUGUGGAUUGUGAAGACAUGUUUGGUUGAAUUUUUGGCUUGUAUAUUAAUUAAUCUUUCCAAAUAGAUUUGUUGAUGUCUUUAUGUUGUGCUUGUUUCGAAAUACUUUAGUACAUGUUUGUAUUGUCAGGUUAGUCAAUCGAUUUGUUCGAUAUUCUCAGGCGGAGUAAAGAAUUAAUAAACAUAUAGGACUAAGAUGAAUAUGGUAAAACAAUUUUUCAGUUAAUAUGUAUAGUUGCCUUUAAACCAUACUAGGGAUGACAUAUCUAAUCAUAUCUAAGCUUCAUUUAGUAAUAUUUAGAUUAUCACAUAAAGAGAGGCAUGCCACCAUUAUAUGUUCAUUAAGAUUAUUGUGUUGUAGUAAUUUUCUGCAUGUUUUUGUGAUUGUAGGAACAUUAAGAUUAUAUUUUUUUAUUCAAUAUUUGAUUUAUGUGAUAUAUGUUAUACAUGAUAUAUGUUUCAUUUGUGAUAACAUGGUUAAUGUACUUGUUAAGUUUGAAGUGUUUUUAUGUUGAUAAUACCUUUUAUUUGUUAUCUUAAGGAUGUUUUUGUAGUGUAAGUUUUAGUGAGGUCAUUGAUUAUUAUGACCACAAGGGUUAUAAGAUAGAUAAAGAAAAAAAUAUUUGUACAUAACUAUUGAAAUGAUGAACAUGAAAUACGAGUAUGAAAGUCAACUAAUGUUAUGAAUAUAAUGCAUAUGGUAACAUUACUUUAUUGUGCAAACAUAAGUGGUUAUUUUGUGGUUUUAUGGGUCCAAUUUCAAUGAUUUGAAAAGAUUAUUGAUGGAGAAUUUCAUAAGUUUCACUGAUUUUAUGCCAUUAUCUUAUGUAUGGAUGCACAAGGUUGAUGGUUGGUCCCAUCUUUUAUAAGAAAAUUAUCAUUAUUAUUGCCUAAAUAUUGGACUCUGACCGACUAAAGUGGGUUAUUCUAGCCCAAAUAUUGGACUCUAACCGACUAAUGAGAUUUAGACUCCACAGAAAGUAAGAUGACCCUUGUAUGCCGGGUAGCAAGAGCAUUUUUGGCAUCAAUAGCUAGUUUCCUUAUCAAAAUUUAGUUUAACAUUAAUUACAUCGUUAGGAAUGAUCUUAAAGAUACUUUAAUGAAGAUUGAGUCGUUGAUGUGUGGAUUGUAGUGUGUAGUGGUUUAUUUAUGUGUUUUACUUACUCCCGUCCCAUUAUUUUUUAUGUUUCUUGAUUCUUAGUCCAUAUUUAUUUUGCCUUGUAGUUUAACUUUAUCUAUAGAUCUCGUUGAGGAAGAUUUCACCAUCGUAGAAGGUGUACUUCAUUCCACUCAUUUUUAAACUAACUGUGGAUGUGUGCUUUUUGCAUAAUGAGUAUAAUUAUAUUGUUGAAUGUAGGGUGUUUUUUGAAGCCCUUUACUUUAACUCUUUUAGUUUCAUGUGUACCACAUGAUAUUUUAUGGAUCAGAAUACACCUUUCAGUUAUGAUAUAAAAUAUAUAUUUUGAAAUCUUCCUUUCCACUUAUUCAUUUUGGGAAAUUCUAACGAGUGCCCUUAGGUAGGGCUGACAAUGAACCGAGACAACUCGAAUAAAGUUCGAGACUCGACUCGACAAUUGAUUCGUUGAACUUGAUUCAUGAACCAAAUAAGCUGAACUUGAGCUAAAAAUUAAGUUCGUUAACUUAAUGAGCUGAACAUGAACUAAACAUAGUCCGACUCGUUUGGUUCAUGAGUUGAUUCGAUUAUAUAUAUAUAUAUAUAUAUAUAUAUAUAUAUAUAUAUAUAUAUUGAACAUGAAUAUACGGUCAAAAUAAUCAACUAAAUUUAGAUUUUGUUACACGAUACUAAAUCAGUUAAGCAAGUUGGAAAUGAAACAAGACUUCUCUAAUAUUUUGUAUAUUGAUUUAAAGGGAUUACAAUUACUAAUAUAAUUAACAAUUAUCUAAAAAACAAUUUAACGAUUAUAAAAUAAAAAAGAGUCCAGCACUUAUCAAUAAUCAUCAAUCAAUGAUAAUUAUCCAAGGGCCUUAGGGCACUUAAUAAAAAGUUUAAAAUGAAAAAAGUAUUGAAAAUAUUGUAUUCAACACAUUUAAACACAAAAAAGUGACUUAUUCUUCAUGAAAGUUAUCUAUCGUUUCUACUUUUAAGUCCUUAACAAGUUGUUAGGAAAACCCAUUAAUUAUAUAUCCAAAAUUUAUUUCCUCUCAACUUUCCAUAUUUAAGUUUGAAUUUUGAUGGUUGGGAAUCUCACAAAUUCACUAAAGAUGAUACUAUUAGGUGAUCAGAAGUAGUUGUACAACAACAUCGUCCAUAAAACACACUAAAGUGUGAAACUCACUCAUUUAGUUUCCAUUCUAAAAAAACUUCUAUAAUCCAACUCUAAAUUUAUUAGAUUAUUGUAUUGUUGAAGUACAUUAACAAUUCUAUUUAAUCUCAUAAAACACAGAUUUUAAUUUAAUCUAUAUAUAUAAUAUACAUAUUUUCCAUUCCAAAACAAUUCUAUUUAAAAGGGUUCUAUUUCUAUCAAAAAAAUUAUAAGGUUAGAGAAAUAGAUGAAAGUUUGGGAUAAAUCAUAAGAGUCACAACAUUAUAGUAAUCAAAGGAAAAAAUGUGUCAUACCUAAUAGAGAAAUAUUUUUACCUUAAUCAUCGUGAUAGCCCAAACAAUAACCACCAACACACUUCAUCAUAUGUGUAUAGGGACAAGAAUAUUUUUUAUGACAAUCAGAGUCAGAAUAACACUCCUCUGUAAUGUAAAAUAAGGAUAAAUAAUUCUACAAAAAAAAAUGUGAAAUAUUGUUGAUAAGAUGAAUAAAAAGGUGAGAAUGCACUCACUUGAAUCAUAACCUUUGACUACAGCAAGAAAUAGAGAAACAAAAAUGAU